GGGGGAGGAGGGAAAGAAGCAGAGCUAAGAUGGCAGUUUAGUAGCAACAAAGGCUGGAACUGCUCCAAGAAUCUUCCCAAACCAAUUUUAAAAUAUCUUUUUUUGAUAUUUAGUCAAAAUGACUUUAGUCAGAGAACCAACAAGGAGAGGGAGUGAGGGGACUCUCCUGUGGAAAACAACUUGAAAGGUUAUAUGGAAGAUAACUAAAAGAUACUAAUGUCUUCGCCAAUGCUUCUAUAGCAGUAAGGAGGUGAAACCUAUGAGUGUGGAAGAUCACAUAUGCUAUCAUAUUUUGUUGCUGUGUUUUAUUUAUUUGUUGAACUGCUUUUUUCCCCUCUUAAAAAAAAUCUGUGUCAAAAGGGUUUGGCUUCCUGGGCAAGAGAAAGGAAAUGACCUACUUGGAAAUGAAUUGCAUAAAAACAAAAAAGAUCAAUAAAAAUAAGAUAAUUUAAAAAUAAAAUACA